rnacentral:rRNA from 1 species
CCUACGGGAGGCAGCAGUGAGGAAUAUUGGUCAAUGGACGAGAGUCUGAACCAGCCAAGUAGCGUGAAGGAUGACUGCCCUAUGGGUUGUAAACUUCUUUUAUAAAGGAAUAAAACGAGGCACGUGUGCCUUUUUGCAUGUACUUUAUGAAUAAGGAUCGGCUAACUCCGUGCCAGCAGCCGCGGUAAUACGGAGGCUCCGAGCGUUAUCCGGAUUUAGUGGGUUUAAAGGGAGCGGAGAUUGGUUGUUAAGUCAGUUGUGAAAGUUUGCGGCUCAACCGUAAAAUUGCAAUUGAUACUGGCAGUCUUGAGGACAGUUGAGGUAGGCGGAAUUCGUGGUGUAGCGGUGAAAUGCUUAGAUAUCACGAAGAACCCCGAUUGCGAAGGCAGCUUACUAAACUGUGACUGACAUUGAUGCUCGAAAGUGUGGGUAUCAAACAGGAUUAGAUACCCGAGUAGUC